rfam:Triticum urartu cultivar G1812 contig749228, whole genome shotgun sequence.
UAAUUACUCCCUCCGUUUAGAAAUACUUGUCAUCAAAAUGAAUAAAAAGAAGAUCUAUCUAGAUGUAUUUUAGUUCUAGAUAUAUCUCUCUUUGUCCAUUUUGAUGACAAGUAUUUUCAGACGGAGGGAGUACCAU